rnacentral:sRNA from 1 species
UAGAUUUAUUCUUACACAAUUUGAGUAACAUUGUGUUUUUAGUCACAAAAUAUUACACAACACGAGUUAUUAUUCAUUAUUUAU